CGCGUAGGCGGCUUUUUAAGUCGGUUGUGAAAGCCCCGGGCUCAACCCGGGGAGGCCAGCCGAUACUGGGGGGCUUGAGGGCAGGAGAGGGAAGCGGAACUGCCGGUGUAGCGGUGGAAUGCGUAGAUAUCGGCAGGAACACCCGCGGCGAAGGCGGCUUCCUGGACUGCUCCUGACGCUGAGGCGCGAAAGCCAGGGGAGCGAACGGGAUUAGAUACCCCGGUAGUCCUGGCCCUAAACGAUGGUCACUAGGUGUCGCGGGUAUCGACCCCUGCGGUGCCGCAGCUAACGCAGUAAGUGACCCGCCUGGGAGUACGGCCGCAAGGUUGAA
rnacentral:rRNA from 1 species